CUCACUUUGAUAUGUUGUGAAAGUUUCAAGUAUGAUUUAAUGCAACCAUAAACUACUACUUCUUCUUCUUUUACCUUUUAUAGUCAAGAAAGCAACCGUGAUCUAAUGCAAAGUCACAACAAACAAACUUAAUAAAAAAUGGAAAAACCGAAAUUUUCUUUUUAUAGAAUACCAAUUCAAUGCCGGGUUACUUUAAAAUUUAAACUCUUUUUCUUUUUAAUGCUAACUCUCCAGCAAGAAAUAAUCUUAACCAAUUUGCAGACUAACAUCUUCUCUUUUGAGUAAUUUUAAGUUGCUAAGUAGAGUACCAAAUAAUAAUUUUAUAUGGAUCCAUUAUGUAGUUUCAUCCACUUAAAGAUGAAAAUUUUGGGCAAAAUAUUAAUUGAAAACACACACACAUUCACGCCCGGUGCACACAUCAUCCCGCAUUCAAGUUGGGUCUCGAGAAGGCUGCACCCCUGAAGUGUAAUAUAGACAGCUUACCCUAACGCAAGCAUUAAUAACUGCUUUCACGGCUCGAACUCGUGACCUAUAAGUCACACGGAAACAACUUUACCGUUGCUCCAAGGCUCCCCUUCUUAUGAGUAUAUAGUGGCUGACACCAUGGCUCGAACCCAUAACCUGUAGAUCAUGCAAAUAUAACUUUACCGUUGCUGCACUUCAAACUCGGAAAUAUGGAUUGUCACAAUUGAAGAAAGUACUUCCUUACCAGUUACCAUCCAUCUUAAACUGCCAUGUCCAGGUUGCCACAUUAUUGCUAUAGUCAGCCAGUUG
rnacentral:lncRNA from 1 species